CCUCUCGGCCUGACGCGCGGGAGCGGGAGCCGCUGGCCUCUGCUUUAGAGCGCUUUUGCUUUCCGAAUACAGCCUUCAUAAGGGCAAGAGCUUCCACCCAUUUUGUUCACUGCUGCGGUCCUGAUGCCUGGGACAGCCCUGCUGAGAGAUGAGGAAAGGGAUUCCUAGCCCGAGCCUAAGGCAUCAAGGACUCAGGAGGAGUCAUCAGAUCCCAUUCUCAUGAGUGGAACCUUCCCCAAAUCUCUCAGUAGCCUGGGUGUCCCCUGGACCAGAGCUUUCUUUCCCACUUGGAUCCCAUCCCAGUUCAUCACCAGCAUCACUCAUGACGUGGCUCCUCCAACCAGCCAGGGACUGGUAGGGCCUCACCUGCCACCAGGAACGGGGCUGGGUUUCUAGCUGGCAGGCUGAUGCUGGGCCCCACAAUCCCACAACUGCCCGAGGGAGUGGCCACAGUUCCGUUUAGAGCCCGUUUCCUCAGAUCACUCCUGGCACCUGACCUCUGAGAGCUGGUGCGCUGGGAAGCAGAUGUGGAGAAGACGGUUUGUGUGAAAUGAGUGUCCUGAGAAGUGACCCUGGUGUCUUCGCCUGUAAAGGAAGAGCAGACAUAACCCGAGCAGAAGCUGAUUGCGGUGGUGGCUGCAGCAAGGCCUCAGUCCAUCCCACUGGGGUCUGAGUGGGAGGGCCUUGCAGACUCGUCCUGCCACGAGGGAGGCCCUGGCCCUCUCUCCUCCCUUCAUGGACCAGUCAUGGGGUGCUGUGAACUUGGGCAGGCGGCUCCCUUCACCCAGGCCAGUUCCCGGCCAGGGGCUCAGCAGAGAGCCUGGAGCCACCAACGUUCCCAGCAGCUGAGGGAUGCUGAGGGGGACCUGGGCACCACUGCGGCCACCGCUGUCCCCUUUAAAUGCCUCUUGACCUAUCUGCCCCUUCUUGAGCAUUGCCUCUCCCCAGGCUCCAUUCUCAGGCCUUUUCUUCGUUGACUCCCAUUUCUUUGGGGGGAGCAGGGAGCAUGACCCGUGCUCCCCGGCCUUAACCAGCCCUGAGCCUGGGCCCCAGGGUUUCCUGUCUCUCCAGCAUCGCCAGUUUACGCUUCUCUUUGCCCCGCCCCUUGGGACGGCCCACCUCUUGCAUCCUUUGAUCCACCCCCCCCCCCACUGCUCCUACACGCGGCCCUCACUGCCUCCCUCCCGGGCUUGCUGUCCACUCAGGCCCCCGGCUCCGGGCAUGGGCGUCACAGCCCUUCGGGAGUGGAAGGGGUCACUUUACAUGCAUGUUUCCUCCCUCCUGUCUCUGUUUCCAGUGUUGCUCUCUCCUGCGUCCCCCAAAGCCAGCCCCUCCGCCUCGCCACUGCUGCUGGGGACACUUCCUCAAUCACAGAUUGUUAUUCACAUAGGAACAGUUGCUGGACGCUUGCCACGGCCUGCCCACGUCACAUUCUGGGCCAGUCAUGGUGAGCGACGCAGAAAAAGUCUCUGCUUGGAGUUCCCGUUGUGGCUCAGAGGGUUAUGAACUUGACCAGUACCCACAAAGAUCCUGGCCUCACUCAGUGGGUUAGGGAUCCCAGCUUGCCGUUGCUGUGGUGCAGGCCGGCAGCUGCAGCUCCAAUUCAACCUCCAACCUGGGAACUUCCAUAUGCUGCGGGUGCAGAC
rnacentral:lncRNA from 1 species